rnacentral:rRNA from 1 species
UACGGGGGGAGCAAGCGUUGUUCGGAUUUACUGGGCGUAAAGCGUGCGCAGGCGGUUUUGUAAGUCUGUCGUGAAAUCCCCGGGCUCAACCUGGGAAUGGCGAUGGAGACUGCAAGGCUAGAGUUUGGCAGAGGGGGGUAGAAUUCCACGUGUAGCAGUGAAAUGCGUAGAUAUCGGGAGGAACACCAGUGGUGAAGGCGGUUGCCUGGGGCUUUGCUGACGCUGAUGCGCGAAAGCGUGGGGAGCGAGUCCGG